rnacentral:rRNA from 1 species
UACGGAGGGUGCAAGCGUUAUCCGGAAUCACUGGGUUUAAAGGGUGCGUAGGCGGUCUGUUAAGUCAGUUGUGAAAUUCCUCGGCUUAACCGAGUGGACUGCGAUUGAUACUGUCAGACUUGAAUCAGGUUGAGGUAGGCGGAAUGUGACAUGUAGCGGUGAAAUGCUUAGAUAUGUCAUAGAACACCGAUUGCGAAGGCAGCUUGCUGGGCUUAGAUUGACGCUGAGGCACGAAAGCGUGGGGAGCAAACAGG